UAAAUCAGUCAUUGAACAAUUCACCCAAAACACAUUCACCGCACCUACUUAUCAUCACACAAAACAAAUUACACAACCCAAUCGCUCAGAUAAGCUCAUGGUCACACACUCACCUUAACAAAUUAAUUCUAAUAACAAUUAAACCCGGGAGAGACUC
rnacentral:sRNA from 1 species